UACGGAGGAUGCAAGCGUUAUCAGGAUUUAUUGGGUUUAAAGGGUGCGUAGGCGGAAUAUUAAGUCAGCGAUGAAAUCCUGCAGCUUAACUGUAGAACUGUCAUUGAUACUGGUAUUCUUGAAUGCAGUUGAGGUAGGCGGAAUGUGUAAUGUAGCGGUGAAAUGCUUAGAUAUUACACAGAACACCGAUUGCGAAGGCAGCUUACUAAACUGUGAUUGACGCUGAGGCACGAAAGCGUGGGGAGCAAACAGG
rnacentral:rRNA from 1 species